rnacentral:lncRNA from 1 species
UCAGCAGAGUGCGAUCGAAGCGGCGUUGACGAAAAAGUAAAAUAAAGACGAAAGAACUGCGAAAUUAUAUCGCUGACGAUCCCUGAACACCGAUAAGGCGAGAGAAACGGGGGAGACAGCGACGCGAUCCGCUCCUGAAUUUACGAGGCUCCGCGGGUGCCGAGGGUGCAGGGGCGUACAGACGUGGCGCCGGGCGUCCCGACGCCUAGACUGGCAGGGGCCGCACGCACGUUGACCGUGAAACGCGCGCGACAUCGUGUUAAACUCUGCUCCUCCACAGCUUUGCUUAUCGAUGUUUCCUUCUUUCUAUUCGACUAGUUCUCUACGCUUCUCUAGUUAGUAGCUUACAAGUUGCGAUUUACAAGAGGCGUUACGACGAAUAAUAUUUUAGUGGAUUUGUUUGUUUAUUGUAAAAGUCAUAUGGUAAUAGAAAAUAUAGGAACGAUGCGCGAGAAAAAAGUUAAGUGGCAAGAAUUACUAACUAAUAAGAUAAGAAGAACGAGACGGACAAGAUGAGAGAGUAUUCGCUGGAGUUUAAGUAAGCGAGCUACAGAAGAAAGACGAGUGGAAGUACGUGCACUAUUGGCGUGUAGUAUCAUACGGUUGAAGCAGCUAAAAUAACCAUACAGUGUACGAUGAUGCUCAACUCGCGGUAGUUCCGGAUGACCUGAAUCUGAUUUGAGGAAGCGAAGGAAUGGCCAGAUUAGAUAGAUCGGUUAGAUUCGUGAGAGAAAAAUUGACGUUACACGGUGUACUCGAAGGACAUUGGAAAGAUGAAAUAUGCGAAUCGCUGUCGUCGUUUCGCGACAGGAUGGACGUGUCCUCUUGUUGGAAAGCCAGGACCUUCGAGCGCGCAACGCACGUAUCACUCACACGAGCGUGUGUCAGUGAAAAUCGCGUCUCGCAAUUUAACUCGAGAUCACGAAGUCUUCGCGUGUACGCCUGUAAAAAUAUUUCACACUUUCUUUAGAAACUAUUAGCGCGAAUUAACUUCUAAACUGAGAACACGAGUAAUACAAUAAUAUCCUUGCUUGGACAUUUCUUAUAUUUCGUGUUCCUUCGUUUUUCUCAGAGGUGAGUUACAUUGCUAAACUGUGUUCAUGUAGAUAUUUAUGUGUUCAUGGCACGUAUAGAUAUUUUGGAAUAUACAAACAUCAAGAUCACGAUGUUGUUCAGAUUUUGAUUUUUAACAUUAAAACUAC